GCUCUAUUGCCCAAGGGCCAGUAGUCGAGGUCCCCACUCUUCUCUGGUCGUGAUUCCGGCCCCACACCCGAGCCGGCACAGUCCGGUUGAGGCUGUGGCGGCGACUGCACCUGCCGCCAUGCACGACGCCUUCGAGCCGGUGCCGAUCCUAGAAAAGCUGCCUCUGCAGAUCGACUGUCUGGCUGCCUGGGAAGAAUGGCUGCUUGUUGGAACAAAACAAGGUCAUCUUCUUCUCUAUAGGAUUCGGAAAGACGUUGGUUGCAACAGGUUUGAAGUGACAUUAGAGAAAUCCAAUAAGAACUUCUCCAAAAAGAUUCAGCAGAUCCAUGUGGUCUCCCAGUUUAAGAUUCUGGUCAGCUUGUUAGAAAAUAAUAUUUACGUCCAUGACCUGUUGACAUUUCAACAAAUCACUACGGUUUCCAAGGCAAAGGGAGCAUCGUUGUUCACAUGUGACCUCCAGCACACAGAGACUGGGGAGGAGGUGUUGCGGAUGUGUGUGGCUGUGAAAAAGAAGCUGCAGCUCUAUUUCUGGAAAGACAGGGAAUUUCAUGAAUUGCAGGGGGACUUUAGUGUACCAGAUGUGCCCAAGUCCAUGGCAUGGUGUGAAAAUUCUAUCUGUGUGGGCUUCAAGAGAGACUACUAUCUAAUAAGGGUGGAUGGAAAGGGGGCCAACAAAGAGCUCUUCCCAACAGGAAAACAGCUGGAGCCCUUAGUUGCACCUCUGGCGGAUGGAAAAGUGGCCGUGGGUCAGGAUGAUCUCACCGUGGUGCUCAAUGAGGAGGGGAUCUGCACACAGAAGUGUGCCCUGAACUGGACAGACAUCCCAGUGGCCAUGGAGCACCAGCCUCCCUACAUCAUUGCAGUGUUGCCUCGAUAUGUGGAAAUCCGAACAUUUGAGCCGAGGCUUCUGGUCCAGAGCAUUGAACUGCAAAGACCCCGUUUUAUUACCUCGGGCGGAUCAAACAUUAUCUAUGUGGCCAGCAAUCACUUUGUCUGGAGACUCAUUCCAGUCCCCAUGGCGACACAAAUCCAACAGCUUCUCCAGGACAAGCAGUUUGAAUUGGCUUUGCAGCUCGCAGAAAUGAAAGAUGAUUCCGACAGUGAAAAGCAGCAACAGAUCCAUCACAUCAAGAACUUGUAUGCCUUCAACCUCUUCUGCCAGAAGCGUUUCGAUGAGUCCAUGCAGGUCUUUGCUAAACUUGGCACAGAUCCUACCCAUGUGAUGGGCCUGUACCCAGACCUGCUGCCCACAGACUACAGGAAGCAGCUGCAGUAUCCUAACCCACUGCCUGUGCUGUCUGGGGCUGAGCUGGAGAAGGCUCACUUAGCUCUGAUUGACUACCUGACCCAGAAACGAAGCCAGUUGGUAAAGAAGCUGAAUGACUCUGACCACCAGUCUAGCACCUCGCCUCUCGUGGAAGGGACCCCUACCAUCAAGUCUAAGAGGAAGCUGCUGCAGAUCAUUGACACCACCCUGCUCAAGUGCUACCUUCACACGAACGUGGCCCUCGUGGCCCCCUUGCUCCGUCUGGAGAACAAUCACUGCCACAUUGAAGAGAGCGAGCACGUGCUGAAGAAGGCUCACAAGUACAGCGAGCUGAUCAUCCUGUACGAGAAGAAGGGGCUCCACGAGAAAGCUCUGCAGGUGCUGGUGGACCAGUCCAAGAAAGCAAAUUCCCCUCUGAAAGGCCAUGAGCGGACAGUGCAGUACCUGCAACAUCUGGGCACAGAAAAUCUGCAUUUAAUUUUUUCCUACUCAGUGUGGGUGCUGAGAGACUUUCCAGAGGAUGGCCUGAAGAUAUUUACUGAGGACCUCCCAGAGGUGGAGGCUCUGCCACGAGACCGAGUGCUGGGCUUCUUAGUGGAGAAUUUUAAGGGUCUGGCUAUUCCUUACCUGGAACAUGUCAUCCACGUUUGGGAGGAGACCGGCUCUCGGUUCCACAACUGCCUGAUCCAGCUGUACUGCGAGAAGGUGCAAGGUCUGAUGAAGGAGUAUCUCCUGUCCUUCCCUGCAGGCAAAGCUCCAGUCCCUGCUGGUGAAGAGGAAGGAGAGCUGGGAGAAUACCGACAGAAGCUCCUUAUGUUCUUGGAAAUUUCCAGCUACUAUGACCCAGGCCGGCUCAUCUGUGAUUUUCCUUUUGAUGGCCUCUUGGAAGAACGUGCUCUCCUGCUGGGACGCAUGGGGAAACACGAACAAGCUCUCUUCAUCUACGUGCACAUCCUGAAAGACACAAGGAUGGCUGAAGAGUACGUCGACCCUGCCAUCCCACCUCCCAAGGGUCUAAAAGAGGCCCUGCAGAGAGAUGAGAGGCUGAGAAAGCCACCCCUGCACUUGCAGCUGAAGCGAGGUCACCUCGUGUGCCGGCCCCCGAUUGUGCUGUCAUUAGGCUGCUCAGGCAGCAUCCAUGCCCUUUCUCUACAUGUGACCUUGUCUGAUCACUCUCUCCCUUACAGGUACUGCCACAAGCAUUAUGACCAAAACAAAGAUGGCAACAAAGAUACAGGUGUAUCUGUCCCUGCUCCGGAUGUACCUGUCACCCCCCAGCGUGCACUGCCUGGGGCCAAUCAAGCUGGAACUGCUGGAGCCACAAGCCAACCUCCAAGCCGCCCUGCAGGUCCUGGAGCUACACCACAGCAAGCUGGACACCACCAAGGCCAUCAACCUGCUGCCCGCGAACACUCAGAUUAACGACAUACGCAUCUUUCUGGAGAAGGUCUUAGAAGAGAAUGCCCAGAAGAAACGGUUCAACCAAGUGCUCAAGAACCUUCUCCAUGCAGAGUUCCUGAGGGUCCAGGAAGAGCGCAUUCUACACCAGCAGGUGAAGUGCAUCAUCACGGAGGAGAAGGUGUGCAUGGUGUGUAAGAAGAAGAUUGGGAACAGCGCAUUUGCAAGAUACCCCAAUGGGGUGGUCGUGCAUUACUUCUGCUCCAAAGAGGUCAACCCGGCUGACACCUGAGCCCAGCAGGCUGAGGACUGAGCGGCGGACAGCUCGGCCACCCCAGAGGGGAGAGCCCUGGCCUUGGGGAUCGGGACUGCUGCCACCACCAGGUGUCUCCCCAUUUGGACACUGGCUCCCUUGAGCCCUGGAACAUUUCUGAAUUAUUCAGACUUGUGUUCUGACGUUGCCAGAUUUUUGAUAGAAAAAGGAAUUAGUUACACCUUUUAUACCAUUAUGUUGCAGGCAGUUUCGGAGAAUUGGAUACCUGCUUGGACAGAAAGAGAUGGGAAGGGCACCAUCCUGCCUUUGCAUUCCAGUCACCCAAAUAUGGAAACUUAUCUCAAGUGUUUGAAACCCUCCUGGGGGUUCUUUAUUCAGUUUUCCAUUAGGAUGCACGUAGGACUUCACAGGAGCCUUCAGCUCGGCUGCCUGGAGUCCCUUGAGCAGAGAAGCCCCAGAGCCCCUCUGACUGCAGAGGCCAGACGGGUCCGCCCUCUAGGUAACGCUGGUCACUUCGUAGUUGCUGACCCUGCAUCCCCUCACCCGUGUCCCCAAUCAACUCUUGAUUUUUCAGUCUCCUUCUCUUUCUAUUUAUUUUCUUCCUUUAUCUCUCCCCUCACUGCUCCACCCAGGCUUUCUCUCCCAUUUUCCUGACACCAGGAAUUUUGAACAAGGUAAAAUGAGAAGCAAGAGGAAGUCCUGAUUUCUAGGAAUACAUUGAUAACGGACUGUCACAUGUGUUGUAAAUAGAAUCUCCUUGGACCAUACACUCCAUGCCCAGAAGCUGAGAAGAGCAUCGUUCUCAGGGCCGAGUGUGACAGUAGCUCUCAGGGUGGGCUGCCCUGGGUUGUGACCUCUUGGCAGAUGUCUGCAGAGGCUCCUGCUCCAGAUUCAUCCUCCAGCCCCCCAGAGCAGGUUGGUUUAGGCUUGCUGAGCAGAGUGCUUCAUGCUUGGGGCGCCUUUCUCUUUCCAGCCCAUGUCGUCCGCCCACUUUGGCCUGGCCAUCGUUCUCCAGCUUUGUUUUGAAAGAGUUGGAGAAUUGCGCUGGGACGUGGGUGAUAGGGGGAUCCCUGCUGCACACGGGAAACGAUCAGAUCAGAAACUGACAAUGACGAUGUUAGGUGUGCUUGUGCGGGGCUCGGGGACAGCCGAGAAUGCUGCUGGGGCGCAGGAGUCGUGACAAAACUCACCACCAAACUUGGGGGAGCCCUUGUUCAGGGGAGACCCCGUCUCCCAUAGGGCCCCAGAACCCACAGGCGGAGUCCCCAGCACUGCAUGCUGAAGACACACAGGGAGAGCGCCCUGUAUCCUGUCCUCCUUGGGGGCUUUCAGAUUCACCACGACCCCAGAGUCUGACAGCUUCGAGGGUAGGUUUCAGCACCCGAUACUGACACUGCUCUGGUGGCCUGUCCUUGACAUGCCGAGAUCCUUUUUAAACCGCAGCAUCGUGCUGUUUGGGGCCUGUGUUGUAGCCUGACUUGCUGGUGAUGUACAUGAGGCUCCUCCCAGGCACACCAGCCAUGGAGGGUCUGAAGGGACAAAAGUAAGAGCCGUCAACAUUGUUCACAGAGAUGGGGCCUCCCUGUUUGGGAGGCCGAACAGCGCAUCACAAGAUCCACAUCCCACUGGCCAUGCCCCUGCUAAGAAGCAGGGCCGCCCUGGGCCCCAUUUGCACCAGUUCUGAGCACCAGGCUGAGUUUCCUUUGGAGCAGCAGCCGAAACUGGCCCCAGCCCACACGCCCUGCCUUCCUGGCCUCCAUGUGUGCACCUCCCGUUCCCACCACCUGUGUGGCACACGUGUUUGAAGCAAUAGAAUAAAAAAUGUGUGUUUCCUUCCCUGCUGAAAUGUAUAAACGACCCAGUUUUCCCAAACUCCAUUCUCCUGCCCUAGACUCUCUGCCCUCCACGGAGGUGUGGCGAAGGCUGGAGAUGAACGCACUAUGGUGAGGACUGGCAAAACUCUCAUAAUAAACAUCAUGAAGUAAGAAACUAA